rnacentral:misc_RNA from 1 species
GAUGAAGAACGUAGUGAAAUGCGAUAAGUAAUGUGAAUUGCAGAAUUCAGUGAAUCAUCGAAUCUUUGAACGCACAUUGCGCCCGCCAGUAUUCUGGCGGGCAUGCCUGUUUGAGCGUCAUUUCAACCAUCAAGCUCUGCUUGCGUUGGGGAUCCGCGGCUGCCCGCGGUCCCUCAAAACCAGUGGCGGGCUCGCUAGUCACACCGAGCGUAGUAACUUUACAUCGCUAUGGUCGUGCGGCGGGUGCUUGCCGUAAAACCCCCCAAUUUUUAAGGUUGACCUCGGAUCAGGUAGGAAUACCCGCUGAACUUAAGCAUAUCAAUAAGCGGAGGA